AAAUUGAAGAGUUUGAUCAUGGCUCAGAUUGAACGCUGGCGGCAGGCCUAACACAUGCAAGUCGAGCGGCAGCGGGAAAGUAGCUUGCUACUUUUGCCGGCGAGCGGCGGACGGGUGAGUAAUGCCUGGGGAUCUGCCCAGUCGAGGGGGAUAACAGUUGGAAACGACUGCUAAUACCGCAUACGCCCUACGGGGGAA
rnacentral:rRNA from 1 species